UACUUUUAAUUCGAACAAGGGCAUUACAGUCAAUAUGUUUUGGAUAAAAACUGCAAGCCCUAAAAUCACUCCUCAUUAACAGCUCACACGUUCCUCUCUCUCUCUCUCUCUCUCUCUCUCUCUCUUGUUUCUCAACCUCUCGGUCAUCUCUCACCUUCUCUGCAAAUCCUUCGUCUCUUUCUUCUUCGGUGGCGUCAUGGCAGCGGAUGAGGGGAUUGGCUGGGUGGAUGUCCCAAUCGCAAGCGGCGUAGAUAGAGACGACGUAAAAGGCCGCAGAUUAUCCAAUCACUUCUCUCUUCCCCUGCCUUCUGUUCUUGGUUCACGACGGUUGUCGACAGGAGGGCGCGCGUCGCUACGAUCUGUGGUGCUGUUCUGCGCAGCGGCAAUGGGCGUGGUGGCGGUGGCAUUCACCACCACGAUGCGGGAGAGGUAGGGGCGCUCGUUUACGGACAGCGGCGAGAUCCUGAAGUUGACGACACGUGAGCAGGGUUGGGCGUGAGGGUGAACCUGGGGUCUAUCUGAUGAAUGGCCGAUGCUGCUGGCAGAGCGCGGAGAAUACGCUAGGUGAGGGGCGUGGUAGACGAGGAUCGGGGCCAAUCGAAAAAUUGCAUAAUUCUCGAUCCGCCAUGAAAUUCGAGAAUGAGGAAUUAUGGCGAUAGUAGGAGAGGAGGAAACACGCAUUUCCUUUCUGUUUUUUCUAUUUUGUUGUUCAGUUAAUUUGUAAACAAUUUUUCUAUAGUUGUUAGAGACGAGUGAAGAGAUUUUUCAAAAUCGUGAUUUUUAUUUGACUGUUCAUUUAGAAAUUGUAUUGUGUUCAUUGAAGAAAUUAUUUUCUAUUCAUUUAUAAAUUGUGUUUUGUUCAUUUAUAAGUUGUGUUAUGCUCAUUGAAAAUUAGAUUGCAUGUU